GAUGAACGCUGGCGGCGUGCCUAAUACAUGCAAGUCGAGCGAACGGACGAGAAGCUUGCUUCUCUGAUGUUAGCGGCGGACGGGUGAGUAACACGUGGAUAACCUACCUAUAAGACUGGGAUAACUUCGGGAAACCGGAGCUAAUACCGGAUAAUAUUUUGAACCGCAUGGUUCAAAAGUGAAAGACGGUCUUGCUGUCACUUAUAGAUGGAUCCGCGCUGCAUUAGCUAGUUGGUAAGGUAACGGCUUACCAAGGCAACGACGCAUAGCCGACCUGAGAGGGUGAUCGGCCACACUGGAACUGAGACACGGUCCAGACUCCUACGGGAGGCAGCAGUAGGGAAUCUUCCGCAAUGGGCGAAAGCCUGACGGAGCAACGCCGCGUGAGUGAUGAAGGUCUUCGGAUCGUAAAACUCUGUUAUUAGGGAAGAACAUAUAUGUAAGUAACUGUGCACAUCUUGACGGUACCUAAUCAGAAAGCCACGGCUAACUACGUGCCAGCAGCCGCGGUAAUACGUAGGUGGCAAGCGUUAUCCGGAAUUAUUGGGCGUAAAGCGCGCGUAGGCGGUUUUUUAAGUCUGAUGUGAAAGCCCACGGCUCAACCGUGGAGGGUCAUUGGAAACUGGAAAACUUGAGUGCAGAAGAGGAAAGUGGAAUUCCAUGUGUAGCGGUGAAAUGCGCAGAGAUAUGGAGGAACACCAGCGGCGAAGGCGACUUUCUGGUCUGUAACUGACGCUGAUGUGCGAAAGCGUGGGGAUCAAACAGGAUUAGAUACCCUGGUAGUCCACGCCGUAAACGAUGAGUGCUAAGUGUUAGGGGGUUUCCGCCCCUUAGUGCUGCAGCUAACGCAUUAAGCACUCCGCCUGGGGAGUACGACCGCAAGGUUGAAACUCAAAGGAAUUGACGGGGACCCGCACAAGCGGUGGAGCAUGUGGUUUAAUUCGAAGCAACGCGAAGAACCUUACCAAAUCUUGACAUCCUUUGACAACUCUAGAGAUAGAGCUUUCCCCUUCGGGGGACAAAGUGACAGGUGGUGCAUGGUUGUCGUCAGCUCGUGUCGUGAGAUGUUGGGUUAAGUCCCGCAACGAGCGCAACCCUUAAGCUUAGUUGCCAUCAUUAAGUUGGGCACUCUAAGUUGACUGCCGGUGACAAACCGGAGGAAGGUGGGGAUGACGUCAAAUCAUCAUGCCCCUUAUGAUUUGGGCUACACACGUGCUACAAUGGACAAUACAAAGGGCAGCGAAACCGCGAGGUCAAGCAAAUCCCAUAAAGUUGUUCUCAGUUCGGAUUGUAGUCUGCAACUCGACUACAUGAAGCUGGAAUCGCUAGUAAUCGUAGAUCAGCAUGCUACGGUGAAUACGUUCCCGGGUCU
rnacentral:rRNA from 1 species